ACCCUCCACUUACCCCACCCACAGUUCUGCCUCGGACCCCGGCCAAUCCCCCAGAUCUCCCCCGGGACCCCCCACCCCGCAGCCCACCCACCCGAGCGCACAGCUCCUCACCUGAGGGGCCCAGUCGCGUCGGGCCUCCCGAGGGGGCUGCGAGUGUCAGUCGGCUCUCCGCACGUGUCCGCGGCCUCGCGGAGCAGUCCACCCCUGGCUGGUUUCUGCUUCCACCUGCUGAUCUCACAGAGGUGAGGUGAUAACAGUGAUGAAACAAAAUCUUCAAACCACAGCACACACUGCAAGCUAUUUGGCAUAUGAAGGUCUUGACCUGAGAAAACCAUCUUGGAUAACUGCAGCAAGGAAAAGGAAAAAUGCAACACCUAGGAGAUUUCAGUAAACAGUAGAAUCAUGCCAACCUAAUCUGUGUUAAAAUGCUUGGAAUGUGGGAGCCGCUGAUGAUGCCUCUUGUCUGUGUGUCUGACUGAAUCCUUUCUUUUCUCAGAGCAGCAAAGCAAAGCCUGGGAACCAGGCCAAAUGCCUGCCACUUACCUUAAAUUGAUCAGCCACUUUGAGAUUAAAACCCCUGAAAGCUGCCACACCGUGAAAACAAGGCCUCCUUCACAUUAAAGGCAAAUUGCGACUUUGG
rnacentral:lncRNA from 1 species